UUGAUCUCAAAUCAGGUAGGAUUACCCGCUGAACUUAAGCAUAUCAAUAAGCGGAGGAAAAGAAACUAACGAGGAUUCCCCUAGUAACUGCGAGUGAAGCGGGAAGAGCUCAAAUUUAAAAUCUGGCGUGCCUCUGGCCGUCCGAGUUGUAGUCUGGAGAAGCGUUUUCUGUGUUGGACCGUGUAUAAGUCUCUUGGAACAGGGCGUCAUAGAGGGUGAGAAUCCCGUCUUUGACACGGACUACCAAUGCUUUGUGAUGCGCUCUCAAAGAGUCGAGUUGUUUGGGAAUGCAGCUCAAAAUGGGUGGUAAAUUCCAUCUAAAGCUAAAUAUAGGCGAGAGACCGAUAGCGAACAAGUACCG
rnacentral:rRNA from 1 species